rnacentral:siRNA from 1 species
UGGAACAGAUUCUCUCUUUGCGC